AGAGUUUGAUCCUGGCUCAGAACGAACGCUGGCGGCGUGCCUAACACAUGCAAGUCGAGCGCGAAUGGAGCAAUCCUAGUAGAGCGGCGCACGGGUGCGUAACACGUGGAUAAUCUGCCUGGGAGACCGGAAUAACCUGCCGAAAGGCAAGCUAAUACCGGAUGAGCCCACAGGGACUUCGGUCCCGGAGGGAAAAGGUG
rnacentral:rRNA from 1 species